rnacentral:snoRNA from 1 species
AUCCCAUGGUGAGGGCACCUUCUCAAGAGGUCCUUGUAUCUCUCCCAUGCAUCAUAAAGUGUUUUUAGAUACAUCUGCACAAAAGAAGAGAUAUCAUUCCUUAAUUU